rnacentral:piRNA from 1 species
AUGGGUGUGCAAGUUGACAGU